AGGAGCAACGCCGCGUGAGUGAAGAAGGUUUUCGGAUCGUAAAACUCUGUUGUUGGAGAAGAAUGUAUCUGAUAGUAACUGAUCAGGUAGUGACGGUAUCCAACCAGAAAGCCACGGCUAACUACGUGCCAGCAGCCGCGGUAAUACGUAGGUGGCAAGCGUUGUCCGGAUUUAUUGGGCGUAAAGCGAGCGCAGGCGGUUAUCUUAAGUCUGAUGUGAAAGCCUUCGGCUCAACCGAAGAAGUGCAUCGAGAAACUGGGAAACUUGAGUGCAGAAGAGGACAGUGGAACUCCAUGUGUAGCGGUGAAAUGCGUAGAUAUAUGGAAGAACACCAGUGGCGAAGGCGGCUGUCUGGUCUGUAACUGACGCUGAGGCUCGAAAGCAUGGGUAGCAAACAGGAUUAGAUACCCUGGUAGUCCAUGCCGUAAACGAUGAGUGCUAGGUGUNGGAGGGUUCCGCCCUUCAGUGCCGCAGCUAACGCAUUAAGCACUCCGCCUGGGGAGUACGACCGCAAGGUUGAAACUCAAANGAAUUGACGGGGGCNCGCACNAGCGGUGGAGCAUGUGGUUUA
rnacentral:rRNA from 1 species